CAUGGAGCUGGUGGAACAGAUGAAUGGCUUGCUGAAACAACAAUUGAGGACAGAAGAGACGAUACCCUAGCCCACUGGAUGAGACGCCUGACAAUGACAUUACAUCAACUGAAUAAACAUGAGAUGCACUCAACCCAGUGCAUAUCAGAUGUUGACACAAGGACCUGAUGUGACAGUAUGUCUACAGACAAGGCCUAAUCAAAGAGAGAAACUACAACCACAGCUGGGCACUAAGAACAACUUGCUUUUGCCUCUACCACAGAACUCCCUACUGGGACCCACAUGGUCACUUGGCCCUGGGACUGGCAGGUGGAGCCCCACUGGUAUCGUCUCUUAACCCCUUGGGGGACAGGCUUAACACAGGAUAUCAUGGACAAUGUCUGCCAGCCUUUUCGCUGCUUGGGCACACACCAUUGCUGACAUCAAAAACUGCUCCAGCUGCUGGGUAUGCAGCGAGCUGCCUCUCUUCAACCACGGGGCGACCAUGGCAUCUCCAAGCUGCCAACACCUCUGAUGGAAGGGCCCCACAAGAGUGGAGGAACGCUGCCCACUUUCCUAUUUCUACGCCCCUCCACCUGGUGACAUGUUUUCUUUGGUGUCCUUGCCUUUUUACUACUUUUAUUUUCAUAUUGUGCUCUCUGUUGCUGUUGUGGUCUCAAGCUACAAUGCUCUUCCCGUGUCUAGCUCGAGGGAAACCGUGGAAGACUGGCGUAAUGAUAUCGUAAGGGCCGUUCCAACACGUGGGGGGUGGAGUGUAGGGGCAUUAGCUAGGGUGCCCCUUUAAAAACCAUGUGUCCUUGAGGCUCCUGUCUGGGCUAUGUGCCAGCUCUCAUGAUGAUAACGGUCCUGGGCUUGGCCAACCCAACUGGUUUCUCAUGGGAGAGUUAGCACCAAGACCCUCUCAGUGUGAGGGAACACAGGGGCCCUCCGGGGGGCUCUGGUCCUUGGAAUGCAGGUCAUACAGGGAUGAUCCCCCUUGGCAGGCAUUCAGCCUUUGUUCCUCUGUCUACUUAAGCAAGCUUCUCUCAGGGGAGGCAGCGGGUGCACCUCACCAUCUAGCUGGCCACCACUGGACCUUCCUUGUAAGUAAC
rnacentral:lncRNA from 1 species